UACGAGAGGCCCAAACGUUAUUCGGAUUUACUGGGCUUAAAGAGUUCGUAGGCGGUGCAGAAAGUCGCGUGUGAAAGCCCCCGGCUCAACUGGGGAGGGUCACGCGAUACUGAUCGACUCGAAGGCAGGAGAGGGUAGUGGAAUUCCCGGUGUAGUGGUGAAAUGCGUAGAUAUCGGGAGGAACACCAGUGGCGAAGGCGACUACCUGGCCUGUUCUUGACGCUGAGGCGCGAAAGCCAGGGGAGCAAACGGG
rnacentral:rRNA from 1 species